GCUCCUCCUGGCCAGGUGCAGAAGAAAUUAGCAGGAGGCCUCUUAACUGACUGGCUCCAAUAAGAUAAGGAAAAUGAUGCCCAGCUCUUUUCAACCUAUCCCAAACUCAACCCAUCAUCUUCCCUCCCGGCCACACACCCCUGGGAACUGAAGGAAACAAAAACACGUGCAUUUAACAUGAGAUGUAACAUUCCUGGGGCCUCUUAAAAUGCUCUCUUCAUCUCCAGCCUUCCCUGCUUCAAUACCUACUGCCAUCACUCCUGCACACCCUGGGCCCCUGCACAUUCGCACCCACCUCUGGUAUUCAGGGUCCUCCAUAGUCCAGCCCCUCCUGCCCUGUACCAUUCAUUCAUUCAACAAAGUCAGUUGAUACUUGUUGUCAUUGA